AGCGGAAACACACCAACAGCAUAUCCACCAUGGUACACUGGUGAAACGCCUUCACCUUACCCUCCUGGAGUCAGCGGAAAAACACCAACAGCAUAUCCACCAUGGCACACCGGUGAAACUCCGUUGUUUACUACUCCUUUGCCAAUCAGCACUUUUUCUGUAUCUCCAGGUUACAUCUGUAAUAUCCCGAUGACCAUUACCAAUGCGCAAACGAUCACUGACUCCCAACUGACGUCUUCCAGCUCUUUGCUGUUCAGCACACCAGCUUUCGCCGGUAGACUGUUCAAUGAGCGCGGUGCCUGGGUUCCAUCCACAAACGACGGUAGCGAAUGGCUACAAGUGGA